rnacentral:rRNA from 1 species
AGCGAACGCUGGCGGCAGGCUUAACACAUGCCAGUCGAACGGGCAUCUUCGGAUGUCAGUGGCAGACGGGUGAGUAACACGUGGGAACGUACCCUUCGGUUCGGAAUGACUCAGGGAAACUUGAGCUAAUACCGGAUACGCCCUUUUGGGGAAAGGUUUACUGCCGAAGGAUCGGCCCGCGUCUGAUUAGCUUGUUGGUGGGGUAACGGCCUACCAAGGCGACGAUCAGUAGCUGGUCUGAGAGGAUGAUCAGCCACACUGGGACUGAGACACGGCCCAGACUCCUACGGGAGGCAGCAGUGGGGAAUAUUGGACAAUGGGCGCAAGCCUGAUCCAGCCAUGCCGCGUGAGUGAUGAAGGCCUUAGGGUUGUAAAGCUCUUUUGUCCGGGACGAUAAUGACGGUACCGGAAGAAUAAGCCCCGGCUAACUUCGUG